rnacentral:rRNA from 1 species
GAUGAACGCUGGCGGCGUGCCUAAUACAUGCAAGUCGAGCGAACAGAUAAGGAGCUUGCUCCUUUGACGUUAGCGGCGGACGGGUGAGUAACACGUGGAUAACCUACCUAUAAGACUGGGAGAACUUCGGGAAAACGGAGCUACUACUGGAUAACAUAUUGUACCGCAUGGUUCAAUAGUGAAAGGCGGCUUUGCUGUCACUUAUAGCUGGAUCCGGGUCGUAUUAGCUAGUUGGUAAGGUAACGGCUCACCAAGGCAACGAUACGUAGCCGACCUGAGAGGGUGAUCAGCCACACUGGAACUGAGACACGGUCCAGACUCCUACGGGAGGCAGCAGUAGGGAAUAUUCGGCAAUGGGCGAAAGCCUGAUGGAGCAACGCCGCGUGAGUGAUGAAGGUCUUCGGAUCGUAAAACUCUGUUAUCAGGGAAGAAAAAAUGUGUAAGUAACUGCGGACAUCUUGACGGUACCUAAUCAGAAAGCCACGGCUAACUUCGUG